rnacentral:tRNA from 1 species
GGCAGUGUAGCUUAGUGGUUGGGAGCACAGACCCAUUUCAGACCACCUGGAUUCAAAUUCCAGCUUUGCCA